rnacentral:rRNA from 1 species
AUUGAACGCUGGCGGCAGGCCUAACACAUGCAAGUCGAGCGGAUGAAGGGAGCUUGCUCUUGGAUUCAGCGGCGGACGGGUGAGUAAUGCCUAGGAAUCUGCCUGGUAGUGGGGGAUAACGUCCGGAAACGGGCGCUAAUACCGCAUACGUCCUGAGGGAGAAAGUGGGGGAUCUUCGGACCUCACGCUAUCAGAUGAGCCUAGGUCGGAUUAGCUAGUUGGUGGGGUAAAGGCCUACCAAGGCGACGAUCCGUAACUGGUCUGAGAGGAUGAUCAGUCACACUGGAACUGAGACACGGUCCAGACUCCUACGGGAGGCAGCAGUGGGGAAUAUUGGACAAUGGGCGAAAGCCUGAUCCAGCCAUGCCGCGUGUGUGAAGAAGGUCUUCGGAUUGUAAAGCACUUUAAGUUGGGAGGAAGGGCAGUAAGUUAAUACCUUGCUGUUUUGACGUUACCAACAGAAUAAGCACCGGCUAACUUCGUG